rnacentral:rRNA from 1 species
UCCUACGGGAGGCAGCAGUAGGGAAUCUUCCGCAAUGGACGAAAGUCUGACGGAGCAACGCCGCGUGAGUGAUGAAGGCUUUCGGGUCGUAAAACUCUGUUGUUAGGGAAGAACAAGUGCUAGUUGAAUAAGCUGGCACCUUGACGGUACCUAACCAGAAAGCCACGGCUAACUACGUGCCAGCAGCCGCGGUAAUACGUAGGUGGCAAGCGUUGUCCGGAAUUAUUGGGCGUAAAGGGCUCGCAGGCGGUUUCUUAAGUCUGAUGUGAAAGCCCCCGGCUCAACCGGGGAGGGUCAUUGGAAACUGGGAAACUUGAGUGCAGAAGAGGAGAGUGGAAUUCCACGUGUAGCGGUGAAAUGCGUAGAGAUGUGGAGGAACACCAGUGGCGAAGGCGACUCUCUGGUCUGUAACUGACGCUGAGGAGCGAAAGCGUGGGGAGCGAACAGGAUUAGAUACCCUGGUAGUCCACGCCGUAAACGAUGAGUGCUAAGUGUUAGGGGGUUUCCGCCCCUUAGUGCUGCAGCUAACGCAUUAAGCACUCCGCCUGGGGAGUACGGUCGCAAGACUGAAACUCAAAGGAAUUGACGGA